rnacentral:rRNA from 1 species
AUUGAACGCUGGCGGCAGGCCUAACACAUGCAAGUCGAGCGGAUGAAGGGAGCUUGCUCCUGGAUUCAGCGGCGGACGGGUGAGUAAUGCCUAGGAAUCUGCCUGGUAGUGGGGGAUAACGUCCGGAAACGGGCGCUAAUACCGCAUACGUCCUGAGGGAGAAAGUGGGGGAUCUUCGGACCUCACGCUAUCAGAUGAGCCUAGGUCGGAUUAGCUAGUUGGUGGGGUAAAGGCCUACCAAGGCGACGAUCCGUAACUGGUCUGAUAGGAUGAUCAGUCACCAUGGAACGUGGACACGGGCCAUGCUACUACGGGAGGCAGCAGUGGGGAAUAUUGGACAAUGGGCGAAAGCCUGAUCCAGCCAGGCCGCGUGUGUGAAGAAGGUCUUCGGAUUGUAAAGCACUUUAAGUUGGGAGGAAGGGCAGUAAGUUAAUACCUUGCUGUUUUGACGGUACCAACAGAAUAAGCACCGGCUAACUUCGUG